AUUGAACGCUGGCGGCAGGCCUAACACAUGCAAGUCGAGCGGAUGAAGGGAGCUUGCUCCUGGCUUCAGCGGCGGACGGGUGUGUAAUGCCUAGGAAUCUGCCUGGUAGUGGGGGAUAACGUCCGGAGACGGGCGCUAAUACCGCAUACGUCCUGGGGGAGAACGUGGGGGAUCUUCGGACCUCACGCUAUCAGCUGAGCCUAGGUCGGAUUAGCUAGUUGGUGGGGUAAAGGCCUACCAAGGCGACGAUCCGUAACUGGUCUGAGAGGAUGAUCAGCCACACUGGAACUGAGACACGGCCCAGACUCCUACGGGAGGCAGCAGUGGGGAAUAUUGGACAAUGGGCGAAAGCCUGAUCCAGCCAUGCCGCGUGUGGGAAGAAGGUCUUCGGAUUGUAAAGUACUUUAAGAUGGGAGGAAAGGCAGUAAGUUAAUACCUUGCGGUAAUGACGUUACCAAAAGAAUAAGCACCGGCUAACUUCGUG
rnacentral:rRNA from 1 species